GGCGAACGGGUGAGUAAUGUAUCGGAACGUGCCCAGUUGUGGGGGAUAACUGCUCGAAAGAGCAGCUAAUACCGCAUACGACCUGAGGGUGAAAGCGGGGGAUCGCAAGACCUCGCGCAAUUGGAGCGGCCGAUAUCAGAUUAGGUAGUUGGUGGGGUAAAGGCUCACCAAGCCGACGAUCUGUAGCUGGUCUGAGAGGACGGCCAGCCACACUGGGACUGAGACACGGCCCAGACUCCUACGGGAGGCAGCAGUGGGGAAUUUUGGACAAUGGGCGCAAGCCUGAUCCAGCAAUGCCGCGUGCAGGAAGAAGGCCUUCGGGUUGUAAACUGCUUUUGUCAGGGAAGAAAUCUUCUGGGCUAAUACCCCGGGAGGAUGACGGUACCUGAAGAAUAAGCACCGGCUAACUACGUGCCAGCAGCCGCGGUAAUACGUAGGGUGCGAGCGUUAAUC
rnacentral:rRNA from 1 species